rnacentral:pre_miRNA from 1 species
AAAAAGACAAACCCUGAUUUCCGUGUCCAACGUUUGACCGUCCGUCUUAUUUGAAAAAUUUAUGAAAAAAAUUAAAAAGACAAGUCACGAAUAAAAUAUUAAUCAUGUUUUAUCAUCUAACAACAAUGAAAAUAUAAAUUAUAAAAAAAAUUCAUAUAAGACGGACAGUCAAAGUUAGACACGGAAAUUAGAGUUUCUUUUUUU